GCAGGCCCAGCUGAGUAUGAUCUGCUGCCUGAUGAGUUUAUCUCGCCCACAUGCAACAAGACCUUAAGCCUUUCCUCUUUGACGUGAAGAUUAAGGGCAAUCUCGACAGAUUUAAACAUGAUGAAGCACCCUACCUUGGGAUGAUAGGCUACUGGCCUACAGAUUAUGCAGUGUGGCCUUCUUGUGGGAAGAGCAUGAGACCAAGCAGUUUCCAAGAAGUCGGACAACAGAGUCAGACUGCCUUACCCACCCCUGUUCAAAGGCUCAGCUUUGAAGCCCUGGCCCACUAAUUUGUAUAACUGGACAGGGAAACACUGAGGUAUUUCCCUAGGAACCAUGUGAGAAUAGAAGAUUACAAGAAAAAUUACUGUUGGCGUAUCCUCUUUAAUUCCCUCUGGAUUUAUACAAUCACUUCAGUGAGAACAAAAUCAAAAGCAAAUGGAAAUCACCAAAAGGAAGAUGCAGCCACUUCACGUAUCAGCACACUUUGGGAAGCAUGCACAGAAGAACAUACGUGUGUCUCCAAAAAUGGCUAUCAUGUGAAAUCUUCUGCCUCAACCAAGAGCCCAGAUCCCUCUUCCCAGGAAUUACUCUUUUUUUCUAAAUAGAAACAGCUGUACUUCAUAUCUCCCAGUCAAUGCACAUUGCUGGAAAAAUCAACAGAUAGCUGAGUAGAAAAACAGGCAGCCCAAUACUUGAAGGUGCCAAAAUGGCGACUACGCAGAUGAUAGACAUGGGAAUAGCCAGGAGGUUCCAGUUAUAAAGAUGGCUUGGGAAGUGGACUGAACAGCUUUGAUUCAGGGAUCGAAUCCCUCUUUGGAGCACUGUGGGCAAACAUCAACCUUCUGAUGUAUUUCCUGGAGCAUCUGUGCCUCUUGGAAUCCAUGGCUCCCCUGCAGUCCUCUCAGCAGAGCAACUGCCCUCCUGCCCAGCCUGUUUCCACUCAUACACAGAAUAGGCAAGAUAUGCAAAGAGCAUUGCAAUGGAUUUUGUAUACUGUAAGAGGUGCUGUUUCAAAUCCUCUCAGUUCAAUGCUAAAAACCCUGUUUAAAAAUGCUCCAAAUUUUGUAUGCCCUUUAGGCUUUAGGAUCCUAUUUGAAGUCUCUUAAUUUGGAACGAACAUUCUUAUUUCCCCUUGUUCACACUUACAAGUAUGGACGUGACUGUUUGUCUGUUUCAUUUUUUUUUUCUUCACAGAAAUGUGACUAAAUAAAGCAUCCAUGGAAGUAAAAUAUAAGCUGCAGCAGAUUUCAAUGGCAAAUGACCAGAUAAAAUUCACCUUUCUUUUCAAAUGGUUGUAUGUGAAGACCUGUGACAUUCCAUAAAUAAUUUGGUGGCAGUAUAUAUAGUCCCGUAACACCAUGGCAACAGCUUCUGAUAGAGUUGUUUCAUGCUUUUUCCUACUUCCAAUUCUUAAUUAGAUGGUAAAUCAGAUGUGAUUUUUACUGCUAGUGUAAACAGAACGAACAUUGAAAUUUUAAAACCACAUUUAUUUUUAAUACAAAAUCUGUUGCACUAUUACAGAAGUAAGCCUGUAUGUUUACCCCCACAUGCACAGAUCAUUCAGCAUCUACAAUUAAAUAAAAUUAUAUUAUUUUUUUUUACCAAAACCAUUGGCAAAUCUUAAGAAAUUUUCUCUUUGUGCUUUGUAGUCAAUGUUUGUAUAAUUCACUUCUUGUUUCGGUUCCUGUUAAGAAAACUCAUCAACAGAAAGCUCAAAGGUGCGAAAGAAGCUUCUGACAGAUACACUUGUGAGUACUUCAGUUGUACUUUACCUACAAUAUAUACAUGGAUGCUGCGAGGUGUGCUAUGUUCUGAUGUAAUGCAUUGGCAAAAGCUCUGAAUGGUUCAAUUAGGAAUCUGCAGUAAGAAAGCAGAACAGUUCACUAUUUUGUUGUCACAGCAAAAAAAAUAAAA
ensembl:lncRNA